UGGAAUGGUGGCUUUAAAGAGCAGCUCUGCCCUAGUUACACCUUAUCCAUAUGCCCAGUGCGGCUCUCUGUCCUCUCUUCACCUCAGCUGACAGCUGGUCCACCCUUCCUGCCUUCCAACUCUAUCCACACUGCAGCCCCUCUCAUCCCUCCCCGGUCACCAGCACAGCCCAGGCCUCCGCCACUGCCCACCUGAUGAGUCCAGCCACCUCCCCACUGGCCCCCAUGUCACUCCCGCUAGAAAGAUUGUGUUAAGGCCGGGCGCGGUGGCUCACACCUAUAAUCCCAGCACUUUGGGAGGUCCAGGUGGGAGGAUCACCUGAGGUCGGGAGUUCGAGACCAGCCUGGCCAACAUGGAGAAACCCCGUCUCUACUAAAAUUCAAAAUUAGCCAGGCGUGGUGGCGGGUGCCUGUAAUCCCAGCUACCCCGAUCCCGGGAUGGGGAGGUUGCGCUGAGCCGAGAUUGCACUCCAGCCUGGGCAACAAGAGCACAACUCCGUCUCAAAAAAAAGAGACAGAGUCUCGUUCUGUCACCCAGGCUGGAGCGCAGUGGUGCAAUCAUGGCUCACUGGAGCCUUGACCUCCUGGGACCAAGUGAUCCUCCCACCUCAGCCAUCCAAGUAGCUGGGACCUACUGAUGCAUACCCUUGCAGUUGGCUAAUUUAAAAAAAAAAAAACUUGGCCAGGCGCGGUGGCUCACGCCUGUAAUCCCAGCACUUUGGGAGGCCGAGGCGGGCAGAUCACGAGGUCAGGAGAUCGAGACCAUCCUGGCUAACACAGUGAAACCCCGUCUCUACUAAAAAUACAAAAAAUUAGCCAGGAGUGGCUGAGCGCGGUGGCUCAUGCCUAUAAUCCCAGCACUUUGGGAGGCUGAGGCGGGUGGAUCACCUGAGGUCAGGAGUUCGAGACCCGCCUGGCCAACAUGGAGAAACCCCGUCUCUAAUAAAAAUACAAAAUUAGCCAGGAGUGGUGGCGGGCACCUGUAAUCCCAGCUACUUAGGAGGCUGAGGCAGGAGAAUGGUGUGAACCCGGGAGGUGGAGCUUGCAGUGAGCCGAGAUUGCGCCACUGCACUCCAGCCUGGGUGACAGAGUGAGACUCCAUCUCAAAAAAAAAAAAAAAAAAAGAAGAAAAUUUUGUAGAGAAAGGUCUUGCUGUGUGGCCCAGGCUGAUCUCAAACUGCUGGGCUCAAGUGAUUCUCCCACCUCAGCCUCCCACAGUGCCAGGAUUACCGGUGUGCACCACCACGCCCAGCUAAUUUUUAAUUUUUUUGUGGAGAUGGGGUCUUGCUAUGAGGCCAAGGCUGAUCUCAAACUGCUGGGUUCAAGCGAGUCCGCACCUCAGCCUCCAACGUGCCAGGAUUAUAGGUGUGUGCCACCACACCAAGCUAAUUAUUAAAAUUUUUGUAGGGAUGGGGUCUUGCUAUGUUGUCCAGGCUGAUCUCGAUCUCCUGGGCUCAAGGAAUCCUGCCUUGGCCUCCCAAAGCACAGGGCUGCCGCUUGUCAUUCACGUCACUUUCUCAGAGACCCCUUC
rnacentral:lncRNA from 1 species